CCUGGCCCAGAGCAGCUGUGGUUGUGAUGCCCUCCAGCCCCGAAAUGGGCCAAGAUGGCAGAGGGCAGCCUCAGGCCUCUGCUUAGGCUGCCAUGGUGCCCUGGCACUCCUACUCCCAGGGGAGCAUCUGCCAGGCUGGAGCACACCAUGGGGCAAGGGAGUCAAUGGCCCAACACCCUCUAGAGGCCAGAAGGGGUGAACCUGAUGGAAGACAUUCACAGCCCCCCAACAGCGGGUGGAGGGAAUAAAUAAUGCCUCACUGGAAAGUGUAAGUCCUUGAGGUGUGUUCAUUCACUCUCUAUGAUGACCUUUUAGCUUAGGCUCUGCCAUCCUCCCUGUGUUACAGAUGGGCUAAGAAGAACGUUUCUCAUAAGGCCGUUGUGAGGAUCACAUGAGGUUUAUCCACCCCAUCCUGCUGAUGCAGCUCCCUAGCUGUGUUCUUCUAAGAAGCCUUCCCAGACUGGCAAAGGCAAGCACUGGGCCUUGUUGCAUCCCAGGCCUGGAAGACUGAACUGAACUGUAAACACCUCCCCAGCCAUGGGAGAAGGGCAGAGGGUACCAUGGGACCCUCCCACUUAUUGUAUAAGCAGAGGUAGUAAGGGCUGCCCCAGUGCUCAAGAGACAGACAGGCUUUCCUCCUUGGACCUGGUGGCCCAGCCUCAGGUGCUCGGCUCUGGGAUGUUCUCCGAGUGGGGAGCCUUGAAUCCUUCCUCACCUGCUGGAAU